AAUUAGGUAAGCUAAAUUUAAGCUUAUAGGUUCAUACCCUGUCAAUAGAAUUAUAAUCUCCUAAUUA
rnacentral:tRNA from 1 species